AACGAACGCUGGCGGCAUGCCUAACACAUGCAAGUCGAACGAGACCUUCGGGUCUAGUGGCGCACGGGUGCGUAACACGUGGGAAUUUGCCUCGGGGUAGUGGAAUAACUCAGGGAAACUUGAGCUAAUACCAUAUAAUGUCUUCGGACCAAAGAUUUAUCGCCCUGAGAUAAGCCCGCGUAGGAUUAGCUAGUUGGUGGGGUAAAGGCUCACCAAGGCGACGAUCCUUAGCUGGUCUGAGAGGAUGAUCAGCCACACUGGGACUGAGACACGGCCCAGACUCCUACGGGAGGCAGCAGUGGGGAAUAUUGGACAAUGGGCGGAAAGACCUGAUCCAGCAAUGCCGCGUGAGUGAUGAAGGG
rnacentral:rRNA from 1 species